AGACAUCGCCCUCAUCCAGGAGCCUUGGGUGAUAGGGCAUGGAAUAUGCGGGCUGAAGUCGGCAGAGCACACUUUGAUAAGUGGAGCUACCAUAGUUCAGUGACGAGGACACCACCACCAUCAGUCUGGAGGCGAACGGACGACAAAUAAGGCUUGCCUCGAUGUAUCUGGCACAUGACAGGCCUGUUCCAACCCUACCGGUCGAACAUUUAGUGGAGCGCUGGGACGGGGCCCUGAUUCUAGGAGGUGAUGCAAAUGCACACCAUAGCACAUGGGGAAGUGGAGACAUCAAUGAACGGGGUGAGUCACUCUUUGAAUUCAUACUAAAAUCUAACUUAGUUAUAAGUAAUAGGGGUAGCGAGCCUACCUUCAUAACGAAGAGCAGAAGAGAGGUCCUGGAUGUUACCCUCGUCUCAGAAGAUGCGGAGGUCAUGAUCAGGAACUGGAGGGUGCUUGAUGAGCAUUCCUUCUCUGAUCAUCGCUUCAUCCAAUUCGACUUAGACGGGGUCCCGUCCAAGGUACCUGCCAAAAGAAAUCUAAGGAAAGCCGACUGGCAUAAGUACA